CCCGGCUCCUCCUAGCAACCGCGCAGCCCUGCUAUGGCGGCCGCGGGUCCCAGCGUCUUCCUGCUCAUGGUCAACGGGCAGGUGGAGAGCGCCCAGAUGGGAAAACUUGCCCAAAAGCAGUGGCAGAACUGGAAUUUGAAACCUGGUCUGAUGUCAGAGCUUUGCUGGACUUGCCCUUCCAGGCUGUUUUUAAAAUAUUAUGAGUAUAUUUUUCCUGAGUAUGACGAUCUCUACUGCAAGUACUGUUUCGUGUAUGGCCAGGACUGGGCCCCCACGGCGGGGCUGGAGGAGGGCAUCUCACAGAUCACAUCCAAGAGCCAGGAUGCGCGGCGCGCGCUGGUGUGGAACUUCCCCAUCGACGUCACCUUUAAGAGCACCAACCCCUACGGCUGGCCGCAGAUCGUGCUUAGCGUGUAUGGGCCGGACAUGUUCGGGAACGACGUGGUCCGAGGCUACGGGGCGGUGCACGUGCCCUUCUCACCCGGACGGCACAAAAAGACCAUCCCCAUGUUUGUCCCAGAAUCUGUGUCUAAACUGCAGAAGUUUACCAGUGGGACCUAGUCUCUUUGGGGCCAUCACGCAGAUCCUCCAAUCUGCUCUUCACACGGCAGAAAGGGUUCCCUGAGACACCGCUGCACGAGCUACUCAGGCACAUCUCCGCCUCAAGGCGCCCGCAGGGCCCCUGCAGCAGCGUCCAGGCUGGCGGGGCCCUUGGGGGCUGCUUCCCCGGGCUGGUCCUCAGCGCAGCCUGGGGGCAGGUGCCGCGUAGCCCUGCUCCUCCGAUGGGGAAACCGAGGUGCAGGGAGGGGGCGAGGCUCCCCUCCAUGACCCCCUGUGCCCCCCCUGCCCCCUCCCUGCUCCCCUCCCGCCCCCUGCCCUCCCCACCCCCGUGCCCCCUCCCGCCCCCUCCCUGCCCCCCCCCCGCCCCGAGCCCCUCACUGGCUCACUGCGUGUCCGCGGCCUGCUCUGAGGUGCGGAGAACCUUCUGCCUGGGUGGGAGGCUCAGAUGUCAAGAGGUUAAUGCUUUACGGCUGGAGCCCCAUGGGGUAGGGGACCAUUAUCACGUCCCCAUUAAGCUGGUUCAUGGGACGGCGGCCCGAGUACACAGACCCCAAGGUGGUGGCUCAAGGGGAAGGCCGGGAAGUGACCCGCGUCCGCUCCCAGGGCUUCGUCACUCUCCUCUUCAACGUGGUGACCAAGGACAUGAGGAAGCU